AGGGUGAGAAUCCCGUCUUUGGCACGGACCCCCAGGGCUUCUGUGAUGCGCUCUCGACGAGUCGAGUUGUUUGGGAAUGCAGCUCAAAAUGGGUGGUGAACUCCAUCUAAAGCUAAAUAUUGGCGAGAGACCGAUAGCGAACAAGUACCGUGAGGGAAAGAUGAAAAAGCACUUUGGAAAGAGAGUGAAACAGUACGUGAAAUUGUUGAAAGGGAAACGCUUGAAGUCAGUCGCGUCGACCGAGACUCAGCCUUGCGUCGGCUUGGUGUACUUCUCGGUUUGACGGGUCAGCAUCAAUUUUGAUCCUUGGAUAAUGGCAAGGGAAAGGUAGCACCUUUUUAGGUGUGUUAUAGUCCUCUGUCGCAUGCGAGGGUCAGGAUUGAGGAACUCAGCAUGCACCUUCGGGUGUCGGGGCCUUGGCCCACGUUACGUGCUUAGGAUGCUGGCAUAAUGGCUUUAAACGACCCGUCUUGAAACACGGACCAAGGAGUCUAACAUACCCGCGAGUGUUCGGGUGGAAAACCCGUGCGCGUAAUGAAAGUGAAAGUUGGGCCCCUUUUCGUGGAAAAGCACCGUCGCCCGACCCAGACCUUCUGUGAUGGCU
rnacentral:rRNA from 1 species